CGUAGAGAAAUCGAGUCUUAAUAGGGCGUUUAGUUGCUGGGUAUAGACCCGAAACCAGGCGAUCUAUCCAUGAGCAGGUUGAAGGUUGGGUAACACUAACUGGAGGACCGAACCCACUGUCGUUGAAAAGCCAGGGGAUGACUUGUGGAUAGGGGUGAAAGGCUAAUCAAGCCUGGUGAUAGCUGGUUCUCCCCGAAAGCUAUUUAGGUAGCGCCUCGGACGAAUACCAUAGGGGGUAGAGCACUGUUUCGGCUAGGGGGUCAUCCCGACUUACCAAACCGAUGCAAACUCCGAAUACCUAUGAGUACUAUCCGGGAGACAGACUGCGGGUGCUAACGUCCGUAGUCAAGAGGAAAACAAUCCAGACCGCCAGCUAAGGCCCCAAAAUCAUAGUUAAGUGGGAAACGAUGUGGGAAGGCAUAGACAGCUAGGAGGUUGGCUUAGAAGCAGCCACCCUUUAAAGAAAGCGUAAUAGCUCACUAGUCGAGUCGGCCUGCGCGGAAGAUGUAACGGGGCUAAAACUAUGUGCCGAAGCUGCGGAUUUGACAUUAGUCAAGUGGUAGGGGAGCGU
rnacentral:rRNA from 1 species